AUUGAACGCUGGCGGCAGGCCUAACACAUGCAAGUCGACCGAGUGGCGGACGGGUGAUUCAUGUCUGGGAAACUGACUGAUGGAGGGGGAUAACUACUGGAACCGGUAGCUAAUACCGCAUACAAUAGGUUGUGCGCAGAUGGGAUUAGCUAGGGGGUGGGGUAACGGCUCACCAAGGCGAUGCGCCCUAGCUGGUCUGAGAGGAUGACCAGCCACACUGGAACUGAGACACGGUCCAGACUCCUACGGGAGGCAGCAGUGGGGAAUAUUGCACAAUGGGCGCAAGCCUGAUGCAGCCAUGCCGCGUGUAUGAAGAAGGCCUUCGGGUUGUAAAGUACUUUCAUCGGGGAGGCGUUACCCGCAGAAGAAGCACCGGCUAACUCCGUGCCAGCAGCCGCGGUAAUAC
rnacentral:rRNA from 1 species